rnacentral:misc_RNA from 1 species
GUCAAUUUGAAUAAGGUGAUUAUUAUUGAUGCAUAGUGUGAAAUUUAUGGUUUGAAUGUCUUCUUCGAAUUAUCAUAUUUUAACUAUAGGAAUGAUAUGAUUUGGUCCUUAAGGAAUCAGCUCUAACCUUGUAAAUGCAACUAUAGAGAACAGCUUAUCAAUUCUGUCAUUACCUGAAUGCACUAUCUUUUGUUCUUUUGGUUUUCACUUCAUGAAAUUCUUCAUAGAAGAGGCUUUAGCAUGACAGGAAGUUAUGAUUACCGAAAACAAUGUAUAAUUGGAAUAUGCAUUUCCACAUGUCAAUUUCAUCAUUCUGAAAUGAUUGUCUGAAUUUGUUUGAAUACUGAAAGCAUAUAAGCAACCAAGAAUCAGUUAUGAUUGCAUUGCAGUUCAUGUGUCACCGUAUACAAUUCAAUCUUCAUCUUUAUGCUUGUACUAAUUGCAGAUUUUGUUACUAGCAAGGAAUACAUAUAAAACUAAAUAUUGGAACUAUUAAUUUCAAUCAAAUUAUAGUUCAGAAGUUUGUUUUGGUUGAAUUGUAUUAUGUUGGAAGUCUCAAAAACCUGGCCUUUAUACAAAUACAUGUGCACUGCACACAAAGAAUGCUUUAAAAUUGAAUUAUAUUCCUUUCUGCCUUUCUCAUGGACAAAGGGCUAUGAAACUCUGCUUUUGGCACUUGCAGGUAGGGGCCAUUUCUUUAAUUGAGUCUUGAUAACAUGGCAUGCCGUCUUCAUUUUGUCUUUUGUGUAUCUGUCUAGUAAAAGCUGCAUUUCUUUCAUAUUAAUGUUGUUGAUUUAAUUUUUAAGUAAUUUGUUUUCUUUGUUGCAUGUUGAGAUAAAACUUCAAAUUGAUAGACUAUAGUUCCAUAUUGUGCUCUUCUUUUCCUUCCAUGUGUAUUUUUUGUUGACUCUUAUAAAAUGACUAUUGUGGGAAGAAUGCUUUCUGUCUCACUCUCAUGAUAGCUUCAUACUUUUAUGUUAAGUGUCCUUGUGUUGGUUCUGUUUGUUCUAUGGAAACCAACUGUUGGAAGUUCGAACUGAGUAGCUAUUAUUUUAGUUAGACAUUUCUUAUUCUUUCAGAAAACUAUCCACAUAAAUACUGAUUCCGUUGCUUCUUAUUUUCAAACUAAGAAGUAGCUACGAUAUUUAUCAUUCUUAUAUCCACAAAUAAGUUGCUUCCAUGUUUUGGUUACACUCUUGUUACUUUCCAACUCUUAAAUGUACCAUGUUCUUGUUUUAUUUAUUUUCUCAUAAGUUUGAGUCUGUAUAUGUCUCAACUUUAUAGGUAUCAUUCCACAGCAUCCUUUUUUGGCUUAGUGAAGGUUCAUUUAUAGUUGUUAAACAAUCACUUGCCGUGAAAGUUUAAAUUGUUAGAAAGAGGAUAAUUGAUGCAUGAAUACAUUUUCUUCAUUGAUGGCUUUAGCUUUACGGAUGGUUGUUUGGUUUCAUGGCAGGAUCCUACACUCAAACCAUAGGCAUACACUUUCUAAGCUAUUAAUGCCAUUAUGUCUUUGAGUGAGCAUUAAGUAUAUUGCAAUGCCUCUGCCUGCUGGUUUAAGCCUUCGGACUAGUGGUUGUUUAGCAAUAUCUUUAUUUAAGUAUUUGCUUGAGAUUCUACAGGCGGUUAGAAUUUACAAGAGAGUCAUAGAACUAGUCAUUUCUUGUAUUUUCCUGCUUGUACAUGUUCCUUGUGAUCUCCCCUGAUGAUUUGCCAAAUAAUCCACUCAAGUGGCCACUAUUCAUAUGUUUUGCCGGUUUUUCAUGUUCUUUAGCCUUGUUGACUUUUGGUUUUACUGUUUCUAAUUCAAUAUAUUUUAUAGAGAGAAAUCAGAUCACACAAAUGUUUUAUUAGAUGUCAUUUAUGGUUUGUCAUCUUCAAUUUGAGCACUCAGUUAACAAAUCGAGUGUGUUUUUGCAGGGUGAGCAUGUGAUUCUGUUUUACUAUUGAAAUUAGAGUCUCUUUUGCAGCACUUCCUGAGCUUUCCUUUUCUUUCUUUUCUUUGUUGGGCUAAUGGCAUAUGUGGGCACCACUAUGAUUUUAUGAAUAGCAGCACAGAUAAUUAGGUUCGACACCUUUUGUAAACAUGAUUUCUGUUUAUAUUAUAUCAAAAUUGAUAUCCAUCAGAGAAUUAUUUAUUUACAUUGUUUUGGCUUAUUAGUAUCAUCAAG